UGAAAAUAUCAAGAUGGGACUCAUAAUCUUAUGGCCACACCCCAGAGCAGGAGGCCAUUUAGGAUAUCACAGUCCAGUCUCACCUUCAGCUAGAAAUGUGAAUUUCAAUUUUACAUGUAAAUACUCAUGCAAUGCAAGUAUAUCAUGCUGCAAAAACAACAUUCCAAUGACAAGAUGAGAACUCCACUGAAAUUAAGAGGAUUUCAACAUCAGAUAGUUAAUCAAGAAGACUGCACCAGAUAAAUUUUCAACAAUGAUGGCAAAAUAAGGAACAGAAAAAUGGAUUCAAGGAAACAAUGCAUGAUUAAUCGAACUUUUAGCAAAAAGUAAAAAAUAUACAAGUGAAACAGAAGAACAUACACUGUUUCUUCCCAAGGCUGCAUA
rnacentral:misc_RNA from 1 species